UACAGAGGGUGCAAGCGUUGUUCGGAAUUAUUGGGCGUAAAGCGCGUGUAGGCGGCUUGGCAAGUCGGGUGUGAAAGCCCUCAGCUCAACUGAGGAAGUGCGCCCGAAACUGCUUGGCUUGAGUGCCAGAGAGGGUGGCGGAAUUCCCCAAGUAGAGGUGAAAUUCGUAGAUAUGGGGAGGAACACCGGUGGCGAAGGCGGCCACCUGGCUGGUAACUGACGCUGAGACGCGAAAGCGUGGGUAGCAAACAGG
rnacentral:rRNA from 1 species